rnacentral:rRNA from 2 species
UGGGGAAUAUUGGACAAUGGGCGAAAGCCUGAUCCAGCCAUGCCGCGUGAGUGAUGAAGGCCUUAGGGUUGUAAAGCUCUUUUGUCCGGGAAGAUAAUGACUGUACCGGAAGAAUAAGCCCCGGCUAACUUCGUGCCAGCAGCCGCGGUAAUACGAAGGGGGCUAGCGUUGCUCGGAAUCACUGGGCGUAAAGGGCGCGUAGGCGGACUUUUAAGUCGGAGGUGAAAGCCCAGGGCUCAACCCUGGAAUUGCCUUCGAUACUGGGAGUCUUGAGUUCGGAAGAGGUUGGUGGAACUGCGAGUGUAGAGGUGAAAUUCGUAGAUAUUCGCAAGAACACCGGUGGCGAAGGCGGCCAACUGGUCCGAAACUGACGCUGAGGCGCGAAAGCGUGGGGAGCAAACA